AUGACAGGACGCCAGUCCCUGGUCUUCUUGGGAACCACAAACAGGUGGGAGUAAAACCCUGUGAACCUGAAAAGUAAAGGGUGGAAUU